rnacentral:lncRNA from 1 species
UCAGGGCUUUUUGGUAUCAGAACUCAGGCACUUGGAUUUUCUUACCUAUGCUUUUUCUGCAUCUCUCUAAGCUUCUGUUUCAGGCCAUCCUGUGUAUAGAACAGGAGAGUUUCUACUGCAAGUGACAAUCAGAGGUGACUCUAUAUUUGCACUUAAAAUCAAAGUAGUCCCACAUGCAAAUGGUCUACCCCUUGGUAAGGCCAUGCUGGUCCGCCCCUUGGUAAAGCCAUGCUGGUCCGCCCCUUGGUAAGGCCAUGCUGGUGUACUGUGUUGUAAAGACAAGAGCAGUAAAUCAAAACUAUGGAAAUUUGCACUGUCGAAAAGCUUGCUUCAGCUUUAUUUUCCAUUAAAAACACUGUUUAAA